rnacentral:rRNA from 1 species
GUCUCCUACGGGGGGCAGCAGUGGGGAAUAUUGCACAAUGGGGGAAACCCUGAUGCAGCGACGCCGCGUGAGUGAAGAAGUAAUUCGUUAUGUAAAGCUCUAUCAGCAGGGAAGAAAAUGACGGUACCUGAGUAAGAAGCCCCGGCUAACUACGUGCCAGCAGCCGCGGUAAUACGUAGGGGGCAAGCGUUGUCCGGAUUUACUGGGUGUAAAGGGAGCGUAGACGGCAGGGCAAGUUUGGAGUGAAAGGCGGGGGCUCAACCCCCGGACUGCUCUGGAAACUGCCAGGCUGGAGUGCAGGAGCG